CUUCUUCUUCUUCUUGCUGCAAUGGUGUGCUUAAUGUGGAACUUUAUUAUGGUCAUGAAUGAACUGCUGCCAUUGUAUAUGUCUAGUGUAUGUCAUGCUGCAGGUUGUUCCAUUUCUACAGGCCUGAUCCAGUUGUUCUGCAUUGCAUCAGAGGGCUCUCAUGUGAUCAUGCUUGGUUUUGACUUAGACGAUGCUGAUUGCAAGUUGUUGCAAUUUCUGACUUGUAUGUAGGACUGACUUAGGUGCAUUGCAGCUAGGAGUUCAUGUAGGCCAUGGUUGGUUGGUUGAACAAAUAAAGUGACAAAAGACUUCCUCAUGAAGCAACAAGUAAAUUGGACAUUAAAUGAUCAACAAGGAAUGUAAGAAUUAGGGUUAUGAUUAGGAGAUUUAGGGUUUUAGGAUGGAAAGGGGUUGAGUUGACUUUGGUCAAAGUUGACCAAAGUCAACCUUUGGUCAAAGUUCAUUUUUAUUUGUAUUUUUCUUGUAAAUGGACAUUGAAUGAAUGAUUAUGGGUGAUUUUAGAGUUUAAGGGAUUUGGGUUGACUUUGGUCAAAGUUGACCAAAAAGUCAAAUGUUAACCAAAGUCAACAAUUUGUCAAAAAUUGUCAAGACUUGUAAUUUUUUUAUGUAAAAUCAAUGUGAUGGUUUAGAAUGGUUUGAAGUGGAUUGACAAAUGGUUUGAAAUUGGUUUCCAAAUUGUUUUGUUUUAUGUACAUGAAUGCCUGGUCUUGAAAUGAAAAGAACAUGACUUGACUGGUAACAUGGUUUAUGAACAAAGUUAUGAAUUGAGGGCAUCAAAUUAGGGUUUGAAUGAAACACCCAUAAGUCAAUGGGCAUGACCUACAACUAGAUUGUGACACAAAAGGUUUGGUUGUAUGGAUGACCAAGGGCAUAGAUGCACCAGUAAUUAGAUGGACUAAACAAUAAGACAUUGAGACCAAGAUGGAUUCAAGACCAAUGUCCAAAGGAGACCAAAGUAAGGUUAGACAAUGUACAUGACAAUAGGUGAAAAUUGGAUGACAUUUAGGAUUGUGGAUGUCACUAGAUGAAGAGUCCUGCCACCAAGUCCAUCAUAUUCAUUAUCUCCUUUAUUAUGGUUUUGGUGAGGCAUACCCUUCAAGCAAGUCCUUUGAACAAAACCAUAUGCUUCACCAACAAGUCUUCCAAUUCUCUCCUCUAUUUUCCCAUAGCCUCCUCAAAUCUCCCUAAUCGGAACCAUCCGUAUGAGGAGCCUAGAUGUCAAAUUUGGAAAUGAACGAUGGCGACGCGAAAUCCGGUUCCCCUAGCAUAUCGUUAAUUUUACCAGAUGACGACGACUUUGAAGGCGAUUAUCAAGAACAAGACGAAUAGUAUACCUUCAGGGCAAACUGUUGCGGUGACGGUAGAAUUGAAAUACACAGAUACGCGUCACACUUGGAGUUCGAAUCGCAGCAGCACUAGAUGAAAGCGAGAGAGGGUCGUGCUUCCAGAUUGUGAAUCGUGGACUGUUGCAGGCUCCGAUGGUUGAUUGAAUCAGAGUUUGGUUGAAGUAUACAGAUUGGAGAUGGGAGGUUGAGGAUUGAAGGGGCUAUGAAGAUGAAGAAGAAGAGAAAGAUUGAAGAUUUGUGAGGAUGAAGUAGAAGAAAAAGAUUGAAGAUGGAAGAGUGAAGAAAAUCAACCCCGUUAAGAUGAUUGGAGGUUGCGGUGAUCAAAGACUAAGAGAUCCAUCAUGGGAGAGGGCGGUAUCGAGAACAGCAUAGAUGACAAGUGUAUCGGGAAGGUCGCUUCUUUGAAAGGUUCUGAUUUUGAGCAUGUGAAAUAACAUGGUGUAGUGGUCUUGCUCAUGGCGAAUCGUCGCUUGAACAAUGGAAUGAUGAUAUUUGGGAUGUGGGCUACCUUGCCGAAGUGGUGGGCUGAGUGAUAUGGAAGCAUCUCAUGAAAACUUAUUAGGGACAUCUUAUGUAGAAUAAAAGCUAGUGUAGAAUUUAAACCCUCUUUGUAAUGACACCUUUAAUUAUCAAUGCCAAUUCCCAAGAUGAAUGUUAGCAAUGUAUUACUAUGGAUAGCUUAUGCUUCAUGGCGAAAUGCUUACGAACUUAAGUCGCAUGCUUGUUUAAACCAAAUUCAUUUGUGAUCUCAAUUCUAUUCAAAGCUCACCUUGUUUUACUAAA